UGUUGCCAAGAGACCUGGACACGUGCCACGCUCCAACUCCACACUGCACAGAAGGCAGCUGGCCACCCCUCCUCAGACAUCCAUGGACCCCAGAUCCAAGAUCUCCACCUUGGCCCUCCUGCUCCACAAAGGAGAGUCACAGACUCACAGGGCGAGUUCCUGUACCUCCUGCCCACCUCCAUGCAACCUCUCAAAGGGCUCUCCAGCCCAUGUGGGACCACCAGCCUGGGUGAGGCGACUGGUCCAGUUAGGGCCACCAGUCCUGGCAGGGCCAAAAGUCCAGGCAAGGCGACCAGCCCAGGUGGGACCACCAGCCCAGGUGAGGACACCAGCCCAGGAAGGACCAGCAGCCCAGAUGGGACCAGUGGCCCUGGUGAUGCUACCACCACAGGUGGGACCAACAGCCCAUGUGGGGACGUUUCCCCAGGCAGGAGCAACAGCCCAAGUGGGGCCACCAAGCCUUGCGGGACCAAUGGCCCCAAUAGGGACAGCAGCCCAGGUGAUGGGGCCACUAGACCAGGCCACGACUCCAGCUGAUGCCAGGCUACCAGCCCAGGCAGGCCCAGCAUACCAGGUGGGGCCACCACUCCAGGCAAGUCCACCCGCCCAGAUGUGUCCGUCACCCCAGGCGAGGCUACCAUCCCAGGUGGGGACACCAGCUCCUCUGGUGCCACCAGCCCAGUCAGGUCCACCAGCCCAGGUGGGGCCAACACCCCAGGCGGGGACACCAGCCCAGGCAGGGACACCAGGAUCGGCGAGGAUACCAGCCCAGGCGGAACCAACAUGCCAGGCCAGGCCAACAGCCCAGACGGGGACACCAGCCAUGACAGAAACCCUGUGGUCACAGCUAGGCUUUGGAAACAUUGAGAGUUUGCUCCUUCUGUUGACUCGCUGUGCUCUGGUGCUGCUCUUUUCCUUCUGGACAUUUAUCUCAUGCAGAGAGAUAAAGGACUACCGUGAGUUCCAACAAGAGCAGCUGGCAGAGCUGGGCAAAGGAUUGAAGAUGAUGGGUAAAGCCCUGGGAGAACUUGAGAAGACACUAAAUGCAGAAAGAGAACAUAAAAAUCAUCUUUCCAAGGAGCUGUCUGAGCUGAAGGCAGAGCUCAGAAUUUCUGAAAAGGAAACAGAGAGAUGGAAAAAGCUGUUUUUUCUAUUGUCCCGGGCACAACACCUUUUGAAGGCCUUCCCGGAAGAUGCAAAGGGGCACUGUGUGCAGGUGGAGCAGGGCCCUUAGAGGCAGGCCCAGGCCUGGGAGCUGGAGAGUUUCUUCCUCCCUGUGCACGCCCCCUAGAGGAGAAGAGGGUGGGGAGGAGGGCAAAGCGGAGGCUAGGGUAGGGUGCUGGGACAGAGACGUGGCCUGAAUUUCAUGAUGUAUGUAUAUUUUGAAUAAUAAUUGAAUGUUGGAGCGCAAAGAAGUGUCCCCAGGAGAUUGUGUCACCUGGGAUGGGGGUCACAAGUCCAUGCACCCUCCAGCUGAUGGGUCUCAGAGCCGUGCAGAGCUGGGCGCCGUUCCAUGGAAGUAACCAGCCAGAGGGUGGCACAAGACCUCACAGAUACGUCGUGGCAGAACCGGGGCUUGGACUUGCCGUUACGGCUCCAGCUCUGGCCGUGGGUCCUGCCUGAUGCGGGCGUUUGAUGAGCAAAGGGGAGGGUGAGACCAGGGUAAGAGAGGCCAGAGGCAUGGCUGUACCCCCCUGCCC
rnacentral:lncRNA from 1 species